UGGGAAGCCAGACUCUAUUUCGUUUAGCAUUUGGAGAAGGCAGAAGCACAAGGUCAUCCAAGGACAAAUCCACAUCCCACACAGAGCAUCGCUGGUUCUGUCAGCAGAUCAACCGUUAAUGACAUCACCAAAGGUAUUUGAUGUGAGUUACAAAAACUUAGCUUGGCUUCCCAUAAAUCCACAGUCAAAAUGCAGAACACUGCAGGAACUGGUUGCUGACUUGUAUCCCGAGAUAUAUUGCUGUUAACAGGGAGCUUGAAGUCUUGAUUAGUUUGUUGUAAACACUACAAUCAUGUUUGCACGCUUCCAUUCACUUUGUGUGCUGUGUAUUAGAUGGAUGAUAUUCGUGCUGAAAGCUGCAAUUUAAUUACAAUAAGUCUGUUUCCUAUACAAUUUUGUCAGUGUCAUCCUAUUAUACUGGUUGUGAACUAUUACAAGGUUCAAUACAUUGUGCAUCUUCAUGUCAGGGAUUGAAUGUCAUACAAUGGAUCAAUUUUAGGAGGUUUUUUUUUCUCUCUCACUCUCUCUAUCUCUUUUUCUUCCCUGAUUGUUA